rnacentral:rRNA from 1 species
AACGUAGGGGACGAGCGUUAUCCGGAUUUACUGGGUUUAAAGGGUGCGUAGGCGGCUAAGUAAGUCAGGAGUGAAAGUUUGCGGCUCAACCGUAAAAUUGCUUUUGAUACUGCAUAGCUAGAAUUAGGAUGAGGUCAGCGGAAUGUGGCAUGUAGCGGUGAAAUGCAUAGAUAUGCCAUAGAACACCAAUUGCGAAGGCAGCUGGCUAGACCUGGAUUGACGCUGAGGCACGAAAGCGUGGGGAGCGAACAGG